UUUGUUUGUUGUUUUUUAUUUUGUGGAUGACGGAAAAGCUGGCAACGAUUCUUUUUUUGUUCAGCCAAUGGAGCUAUGAUGACGUUCAGGUGUAAGUGGUAUUCAUUAAAUGAUUGGAUCGAUAUUAUAGGCUUCCCAUUGCUUCAGUUUUGUUGAUCAUGGAAAACGGGUUAUCAUGAAAUCGAAGUGUUACGAAUCUCAUCUUCUUGAUACUCAUGCUCCACCUGCUAUGAAACUCAUCCUCUUCAAUUUCGCAACAUCUUUCGCUUCGAUUUGUUCAAAUCACAGGGAUUCAGCAGUUUGGCUGCUGGUAAUGAAGAGAGGAGGAGAAGCUAAAGAAAGAAUCUUUGGUUUUUCUUUUUUCUUUUUUGCUACGUAAGUCUACUCAUGCUAUUGGUAUCUAUGUUUUUUUUUUCUCUCUAACAUAUCAAAGAAAAAUACACAAUGUUUAAUAUUUUGUAGUUUUCAAAAUAACUUGAUUUAUUUUAAAUUGAAAUGUGUAUAUAUUAUUGGAGGUAUUGAUAUACUAAGAUACAAUCAGCAUUUUUUAUAUCUUUUUACAUGUAUGAAAAAUAUUACGAUGGGAGAAAUGUCUAAGGCCAGAAGGCAGAGUUCUCUUAGAACAAACGACAAAGAGAUUGAAUCGUCAGGAAAUGAUUAGUCGAGUUCUUCAUUACAAGCCUGAAGCAGAGGCUUGAGAGCAUGAGUGUAGUGGUUUUUGACAUUAAUAAAGACGGUGGAACCAUCAGUUGCGUAUUCUCUUCAAACUAAUGGCCGGCAACGUUGAGAGUUUGCUGCAUCUAAUGAUGUAAACUGAAACCAAUUUUCAUAAGCAUCAAAUAAACAAACAAGUACAUUUUAGCUGCUGCUGCUUGGAAUUUUGAAAUGAUUAAUAAUAAGGUAAAGUAAUUCAGCUGUUACUCUUAAAUUUGUUGAAAGUCAUUCAUGGUCAAACAAGGUACGCUGUUGUUGGAUUGCAUGAUAUAAUUGAAGCCGAACAUAUUUUGUUAGGUGAUAACUGUUUUUUCAAUUGGUCAAAAACGAAUUCGAGGUUAUUGGUUACGAAGCUCUAGCAAGUAGAAGUAUUAGAGUAAUAAGCUUUCCAUUUAUAUUUUCAGACCAGGAAAACGUAUUUCCUUCAUUUACUUAUCUUUUCGGUUUUGUUAGAUAUAUAGUACGAUGCUUCGUUGUAUUUUAAUCUUCAACUUCAGAUUUCCAUAAUAAGUCCAUGCGCACGGUUUCUUAAGA
rnacentral:lncRNA from 1 species